rnacentral:lncRNA from 1 species
UCAGGUCAAAGCCUAUACAGCUGUUUCAUUGUUUAGGGACUGAGGAGGCCUAUCUUCUGCUCAUUGAGGCUUCACUGUGCUUUCUCAUUCCAAUGGCUACUCUUUUAUCUGACCUUAGUGUUGCUGAGCUCAUUGUCCAUGUCAUCUUACCACAGGGAACACUUAGGGGAUUCUCAAUUUCCAGAAAUCAAAGUAACAGAGGAGACGUCCAAAGAGGGAUUUUUCCCAAUGUGGAUCUUGAAUCAGGGAAUUCUUGCUUUUAUGUUUCAAAGACAAUUUGUUGAAUACUAAAAAGAAACAGAUGAAUCAGGUAAUCAGACAUUUUAUAAUCAGACAGUAAAGAGAGAAUUCCAGAUCACUGACAAAUAAACAAAAUGGUCAAGAGGCAGUUCACCAAUUUUCUUGGCUUAUGCAACACUAUAGUUAAGAGUACGUCAUGUCUGGAGAAUUGUUACAGUCAGGAUAGCGAGAGCUUUUAUUUGCAAUGCUAGGUCCUUGCUGUGGUUUGUUAGAGGCGAUCUAAUGGGGGAUAGAUACUGUUUUCCUAGGAGUUAUAAAUAACGCAAAAAGUAAGCCCAUGUCUCCUUUGAUCGUGAAAUGGUUUCUGACUAAAGUUUAUAGCUUUUUUUUUCCAAAAGCCUCAAGAGAGUAACGUGAACUUGGCUAUUAAUUACUAGACCUGUUGUGUUAAUCUUUGACCUUGAAGAUGAAUUUUAUAUCUGCCUGCCUUAGAAUUUCCUUUCAUUGAUCAAUGUGGGUGGGAGUCAACCCUUUAAUGAUCCAGAAAUGGCUUGUGUUAGCUUUUCAUGACUACAAUAUAAUAUCUGAGAUUAUCAGUUUAUACAAAUAAAAGUUUGCCUGGCUCACACUUUUGGAGGUCUCUGCCAAUAGCCAGAUAAGCUCAUUGCUUUAGAGUUUAUAUCAGGGCAGCACUUCAUGUAGGAAUUACAUUGGUGGGGGAGCAGAGGGAAACAGAAAGAAAGCCUAGAGUGCAUACUGCCCUCAUGGGUGUGUCCCUCUGUGACAGAAGUCUUUCAACCAUGCCCCAUCUCUUAAAGAUGCCACAACUCCCUGACAACAUCAUGGACCAUGGAACAAGGCAUUAACACUGCAGCUUAGAGGAUCCUUUCCACAGAGUGACUUGCCUAGUCUGAGUUUCCUUGUCAGUUACUGACUAGAGUGUCCUUAUAGGAUCCAGGACUUAUAAGUUGUCCAUAAAUCUAUGCUUGUUUCCACACCAGUAGCAUUUAAUAUAAUAUGCUUCUUGCCCUGUGUCUUCGGAUCUAAAUGCAGGAUUUACACUAUCUGUUAUGCCUUAAACACUUAUUAUAUAAAAAUGCAAAUAAUGUAAUAAUAGUUUUUAUUUAGUGAUCAUAUAGAUUUGAGUUUCUUCAUCUGAAUUUGUCUAUUGUUAUCUCCAGUCAACAUCCUGGACUGAGCACACUGAUUGGUAAAGUCGUGAGCUACAGUGAACCUUUAGUUUUAAGGUUACUGAAAGUUUAGCAAAUUUUGGGGAUUCACCCAGCUAGAUGUUAUACCAAAUGAUUCUAGCUAAUUUUACUUAAGAUUUUUAGAAAGGGGAAAAAAAUGUGCUGGAGAAUUUUAGUCCCUCAUCGCCUCCUGUCUGAAGAUUUCAUUAAUGUGUCCCUAAGAGAGGUUUACAGAUACUGAGCCUUGCUUAAACCAAAACUCAGAUGUAAAAUGUUUUAUAGGUGAGUGGAAAAUUCCUAAGCCUUUUUUCCAUAACAGUGAGUCUAAUCGAAACUGCAUGGAAUAAAACCAAUCAGUACCCUGUAAUUUACUCCACUUCCACCUCAACCCUAUUGUAUCAUCCUUGUUCC